UACGUAGGCAGCGAGCGUUGUUCGGAGCUACUGGGCGUAAAGAGUGUGUAGGCGGUUCUCUAAGUUUGGUGUGAAAUCUCCCGGCUUAACUGGGAGGGUGCGCCGAAAACUGGAGGGCUUGAGUGUGGGAGAGGAGAGCGGAAUUCCUGGUGUAGCGGUGAAAUGCGUAGAUAUCAGGAGGAACACCUGCGGUGCAGACGGCUCUCUGGACCAUUACUGACGCUGAGACACGAAAGCGUGGGGAG
rnacentral:rRNA from 1 species